ensembl:lncRNA
GUGAGUCCAGGGUGCAGGCAGGGUUGAGCCCACCUGGAUGAGGUGCUUGAGUCCAUCAUCUCAGUGAAGACGGGGUGAUGUUAGUGAGCAUGUACAGUCUUCCCUCAGUAUCCCUGAGGGAUUUGUUCCAGGAUUCCCCAGAGAUACCAAACUCCUCAGAUGCUCAAGUUCCUUAUGGUAUAAGAUGGUGCAGUGAGGUCAACCCUCCUAUUUGCGGUUCCACAUGAGCAGAUUCAACCAACUGCAGAUGGAUCUGGUUGGUUGACUUGCAGGCUGCAGAAUUCCUGAAUACAAAGGGCCAACUGUGUGUUAUAGAAGAGAAAAAAGCUGACCCAGCCCACCCCGCAUUCUCCUAGAGGGGAAUACUUUGAAUGGCGCUUGUCACCAAUGUGCUUAAGUCCAAAGCCAGGGAGUCCUCCUCCUUUUCCCUUCCUUUAGUGAUGCUGACCCGGUUGUUUACCAGAGCCAAGGAGGAAGGACCAGCUGGCUCUGCCCUGAUGCUGCACAGCUCAUGACGGAUGGAUUCCAGCCCUACUUAUCCUCCCUGUCCUGUGGGGCCCAAGUAAAUAGGGCUCUUUUGUAUGAGGAACCCCGGAGUUGCUGAGUGCCCAGCCCACCAGCCCAUGUGGCGGGAUUCAGCUAUUGCAGGCUAGUAUGAGCUAGCUCCAGCAUGCCACUGGUCUGCUAGGAUUGGAAUUACCCCAAAGCUAUUCUGUAGUGCUGGAGAAGACUCUUGAGAGUCCCUUGGACAGCAAGGAGAUCAAACCAGUCAAUCCUAAAGAAAAUAAACCUUGAAUAUUCAUGGAAGGACUGAUGCUGAAGCUGAGGCUUCUGAUGCCAAGAGCUGACUCAUUGGAAAAAGAUCCUGAUGCUG